rnacentral:rRNA from 1 species
AUUGAACGCUGGCGGCAGGCCUAACACAUGCAAGUCGAACGAGGGGCGGACGGGUGAGUAAUGUCUGGGAAACUGCCUGAUGGAGGGGGAUAACUAAUGGAAACGGUAGCUAAUACCGCAUACCCUCAGUUGUGCCCAGAGGGGAUUAGCUCGUUGGUGGGGUAACGUCUCACCAAGGAGACGAUCCAUAGCUGGUCUGAGAGGCUGACCAGCCACACUGGAACUGAGACACGGUCCAGACUCCGACGGGAGGCAGCAGUGGGGAAUAUUGCACAAUGGGCGCAAGCCUGAUGCAGCCAUGCCGCGUGUAUGAAGAAGGCCUUCGGGUUGUAAAGUACUUUCAGCGGGGAGGCGUUACCCGCAGAAGAAGCACCGGCUAACUCCGUGCCAGCAGCCGCGGUAAUUC